UUUAUUUUUUUUCCUUUAUUUUUUUUUUAAAAACAUAGAACACAAAUUCUUGAAUAUACUUAAAGAAUCAAUUGGUUAUAGCAUUUGAAUAUAAAUCGAAUUUAUAUGGUUUUUAAUAAUUUAUAUAUUAAUAUUUUUUUUAAGUAAAUCACCGAUAUUUCCUAAACUACUAGGUUAGACCUAAUUUUGCUCGCGCUGGAGAGACUCAUUACAGGGAUAAAGCACACCCAACAAAGAUUUUCUCUAUUCAUAAAAAUAUAUUAGAAUUUUUGAAAUAUGAUAUAUAAUAAAAUUUCAAUUAAUAUUUAUUAUUAUUGUAAAUAAUAAUUAUUGAUAAAGAUAUUUUUAUCAAUUUAUAAGUUUAUUUUCUUAUUCGUAUUUUUAUAUAUACCAGUCAUUGCAGCACAUACAUAC
rnacentral:misc_RNA from 1 species